rnacentral:lncRNA from 1 species
ACAUAUUGCAUCGUGAAGUUUACUUGUUAUUAUGUUGAGACAUAUUAGUAUGCAUCGGAUAUAUUACCCUAUGAUAGCCUGGAUGUACAUUACCAUGACUUCAUGCUUAUUUGAGACACAGUAGACUAGCAUUUCAAUUAUGCUUUCUUUCAGCAGUUUAUGUAUAUGCUCCUUAUUGCUUGUAUUAUUAUCGUUACUUACCCUUAUUUUUGGGGCCUAGUGGAGCAAGAGCUGAGGUCAGUAAUUGCCCACUGGGAACUAUAAAUUAUAGUUCUCACGCCCUCUUUUUCUCGAUGUUUUUCAGAGCCUUCCACUCAGGGUGAGGCCAGGGAUCGCGGAAAGGGUAUCGCCUCGGGCUAGCGCGCUUACCGGGGGAUCGUUCGCUAGGUGGUCUACCUCUCGUGUUUUCUUUUGUGAGAGGUUGAGAGUUGUACCCACAUAUGUAUAGAGACCACCAUUUUUGUACUACUUAUGGUUAUCUUAAUUUGACUAGCUUUAUUUCUUUACCUUGGUGUAGAUGAUAGAACUUUACUUGCUCUGAUAUCAUUAGUUGCUAGUUAUUUCAUUUCUUGUAUUUGUUCUAUCUCUUGCUUUUAUUUCCGCUUUUGUUGUAGACGCCUUAUAUGUGUAGACAUAUGGCGGGUCUGGGCACGCCACCGGGAGGGCCUCCGCCGGUCCCGGGGCGUGACAGAUUAAUUUGGUAUCAGAGCCUAGGGUUGAGUCUUAUUGGACCUAGCAAACCUUAGGCCGGUUGGACUAUAGGAAUUAGGCUCGUGAGAGACGAGGUCUAAUUGACUUGUCAGCGAAAGUAUUAUGAUUGGGUUUAUGACAACUCUAAAAAGUUAGAGUUUGAUCGGAGUGUAUGGCUUCUAACUUCGCGGAGGGUUACGUUGGCGGCCGACAACGUAACAUCGGGAGUUAGUAGUGAAGGACACUUCCUUACUUUCGCAUGAUUUGGGGUUUUAUCUAUUUGAGCGGGGAUGCGAUAGCGUGGGUUACUAACUUGCGCUUUUAUGCUUUGUAGUGACGAUGCCGAUUACACGCUCCCAGUCUGCCGGGGCGGAUGAUGCGGCACACCCCGAGGAGGUCGAGACCUCCGCUACUUCCGGAUCUAGUGAGGUCCGUGACUUGAGGGCCCAGCUUGCGGUUCUCACUGAUCUGUUGGCGCAGCAGACGGCAGCGGCGCAGCGACAGGCUGAGGUGGCUCAGCGGCAGGAGGCGCGGAUGAAGCAUCUGGAGGACCUCCUACUUCAGCAGGCGGCAGCUUCGAGGGAGACCCAGGGUCCUACACCGCCAGCACCCGUGGUGGACGUCGCACCGAGGGCGCAGUCCCCUGCGCCCAGUUCUUCCCGUGCGGCAU